CUGACAUUCAUUUUAAAUCAAAUCAAUCAUUCAAGCUACAUUAUAUUAAAAUUUUUUCUAAUGUUUGGAGCUCAUAGGAGAGGUUCCAACUCAUUAAAAAAGGAAAAUUGAGAGAGAUAUUAAGUUGCCGAAACUGUUUUCAGAGCGGUCACAUGUCGAUACUGAAAUUUGUUUACGUCUAACCAUCAUGCCAUGUGCGACUGCUGCAAUUAAGUUUCGAUAUUCCUCAUUUUAAAAAGCAAGCCCAAGUCGAUUUAUUGUCUUGUGAAAAUCCUCUAAAUUAACGGAUUGAUGUAAAAAGUGGAAAUUAAGUGUUUGGAAUUUGUUCAUAAAACGAUUACAUAACUUUUGGUUCACUCGUAAGUUAUUUCGUAAAAUCGCUAUUUUAACUCGCCAGCUCUUACUGGCUUCCGUUCUCCUGGUGAUGUUUCUGCAUUUCAAAGAUAGUUUUGCCGUAUUCAUAUUUUAAUUGGGAUACACUUGUAUUGACCAUCGUAAAUACUUCUUAAUAAAUGAGAUAAAGAAAAUUGCACUUACAGUAAUUGUUAAUUUCGUUUUAUUUAUACUUGACGAAACUUAGUUAUAUAUUUAUAUUAUAUAAUAAUUAAAAUAUAUAUGAUAUUUGCCACUUUACAAAUUUGAUAUAAAUUCUUGUCACGAAAAGUUAAGCCGACAUCAAAUUUUAAACAAGGAAAGCAUCGACUUAUUUAACAAAUUCAAAAAAUGCAAUGAGGACAUAUGUAUAUAUGUAUGUAAAUAUAUUUAAAUUUAUAUAUGUAUAUAUAUAUAUGUGUUUUGUGAAGUGUAUAUAUGGUUAUUAAAUGAGACCUUGUAUAUGUAUUAUUAUUAAAGAAAGAUGUGGGCGACUGGUUUAAACAUAACGAACAGGUUAUAAAUGGAUUUGAUUCUCAAACCAAACAUAACCGAUAUCUAAGUAAACGAAAAGUGUUCACGAAACCCACAAGUUCGAACCAUCCUCAGAGAGGUGAGUAGAGAUUUUACAAUAUUUGCAAUAAUCUCCGAUUCUUAUCAACCAAAAUAAAUACUUUUCUUUUUGUUAUAUUAUGUUUACAUAUGUUUUGUACGAUCCCAAUCGUUAUAUUGUUACAACUCAGAACAUAUUGUAGCACAUGCAUUAUGAUAUUCAUAUAU